UACAGAGGGUGCUAGUGUUGUUCGGAAUCAUUGGGCGUAAAGGGCGUGUAGGCGGUUUGUUAAGUCAUGUGUGAAAUCCCUCGGCUCAACCGGGGAAGGACGCAUGAAACUGGCAAGCUAGAGUACCAAAGAGGGGGGUGGAAUUCCCGGUGUAGCGGUGAAAUGCGUAGAGAUCGGGAGGAACACCAGUGGCGAAGGCGACUACCUGGACCAGCACUGACACUGAGGCACGAAAGCGUGGGGAGCAAACAGG
rnacentral:rRNA from 1 species